AGAUGUGGAGGGAAGAUCAAGAGGGUCAAUAAACACUUUUAAAUCUUAGUUUUUAAUAGCAAACUCAUUGAAGCAACCUAAAUUAUUCCAUUGUAUAUAUGUACCACAUCUUUAGAUAAUGUCUUACUGUCGAUCAUCUAUGCCUGGGCAAGUUGAAUGAUAAAGCCAGGAGAAGGCAUGAUGUCUAAUCAUUCCAAGUUUUACUCUUUUUAAAAAAAUAAUAUAUCUUUAUUAAAACUGUAAUGAUAUAAACUUUUAAAUAAAUGGUAACUUAAGCAGAAUUAUAGCUUAUUCAUAUUUAUAGAAGCACAACUAGUUAUUUUGAUAAUUGAGUUCAAUUUGAAUGUAAUAACACAUUUUAAAGUACUUUCUGGGAGUUCCUUUGUGGGGUAGGAAGCUAAGGAUCCAGCAUUGUCACUGCAGUGGCUCAGGUUACUGCUCUGCUAAGGGUUCAACCCCUGGCCUGGGAACUUCCACAUGCCACAGGCACAGCCAAAAAAAUUUUUUUAAAUAGAAACAAAACAUAAAAUAAAAUACUUUCCAAAUGUUUCAAGACUUUUUUUGCAAGUAUAUUUAUGUCAAGUAAUCUUAAGCUUUUUUAUAUUAAUUCUGUUCAAUCCUACUAGGUUCUGUAUACUUUGGAUACAAAGUCCAAUUUAUAGUUUAAAAUAUGCCUCAGUAAUUAAAAUGCAAGGCUCUGAUUUAAACUCCUUAAUAUUGGGAUGCCAACCAAAAAAGGUAGCUGCCAAGUUCAUUUUAAUUAUUGCCCAUGAUCCUGUUAGCAUGUCAUCACUGACUCUGAAAUUAACACUUCAAUUAAAAGAAAGAAAGAUGUGUUGUUGUUGUUUUUUUCUCUUAAGGAAAGAGAAUUGUUUAAAUUAAGCUAGGUAGGAAGUUUAGACUUUAUUAGCAUUGUCUCAUACAUCUUAUCUUAGGAGACCUAGAACUGUCAGGGGAUACAAAACGGUUUACCAUGAAGCCUGGUCAUAACCUUCCCCUUGGGGGCCUAUAGGUGUGGGAUGUGGAAUACUAGUGGUUUGCUCAGGACUGUCCCUGUUCACACCUGUGUUCUGGAGUAAUUCACAACAUCCCCUUUCACUCUUGAAAGUGCCCCUCUAGACAACACCUUAUGUAUUCACCCUAAAGCUCUGCCCUAGCUGAGUCUUUUGAACUCAUGAUUUUUUUUUCAACCACUUCUCUUUGGUUUGGACCAGAGACCUUCUCAUAUUCCAAGGAAUUGUGGUUGUGGAAGGUGACGGUAUAAAGUCUUCAUCAGAUGUGGCUGGCUGGAUAAAGCUCUCUGGCACCAAGUUGUGUUAAUCAUUGUGAUAUUAAAUAAGGAUAACAGGCCAUCUUAAAAUCAGUGCCUCACAUUAGUUGAGCUUUAAAAUACAGUGAUGUUUAUAUUUGUCUAGGCUGGCUGCUUCUGUUUUGUUACAACACAGUACUGCGCACACCACAGUUGGAAAUUUAAUGCUAAGCACAAAGUAUUUGAACAUAGUAGGUUCUGAAUAAAUUAUUUCCCUUCUUCCUUCCUUCCCUCUUCCUUCUGAAAUCUAUGGAUUGAACUUUCCCACCCCUAGAAGAACAGUUCAGACGGUAUAUCCCGAGUCACUAGUGUUAUCUUCCUGUAUCAGCGAAUUUACUCUGUGUGGCCUCCCAUCACCCUGAACAACUUCUAUAAGUUGCAGAACACAAUUUCUUUUCAUUAAAAUUCUGACAAGUGUUGCCAGGGCUCCUGUCUGGGGAGAUUUUUCUCACACGCUGUGAGGUGUGUUGCACUGAGGGGAAAGUUGCAUCUACAUUAGUUACCCAUGACUUAGUCCAGGUGCCGCCUUCUAAGUUAGGAAGAGAGGGGACAACCUAGCACAAAGUGCCCUGGUGACACAUUUGGUUGGUGAGGGAGAAGAAUUCUGAAACCGAAAGGGUUUUCUUUUUUUUUUUUAACAUAUAUAUGACUGGCACAAUAGUGUUAAGCCAAGGCAAGCAGGUGCUGGGUAUGUGCUAAACUAUUUAAUGGUUUUCAGAGUACUGGAGGGCUAUUUUUAAGUGUUUCUAUAUUAUUCUCAACCAAGCUGCUGGAUGAAAAGUACAAAGGGCUAAAAAUAUUUACGGUUUCAGUAAUGUCUUUUAAAGGAAACCAUCCUGUGUGAUUUUUUUUCCCCUCAUUGGUAGGAAAAGAAUAUUAUGGUUUAGAAAUGGUCACAAGUGGUUUGUCCAACACUAAGGUUUUUAGGAAGAAUAACUAUCAAAGAGGCAUUAAGUUGGGUUAGAAAUCAUCAAGAGUUUUGAAGACCAAAUUGAAGAGUGAAAACAGGUGAUUACAACUUCUUUGACUGUUAUAGUCCUGUGACUACUCUUUUCAUACUGUUACCAGUUGUUCCCAUUGUAAACAGAAUCACUUAAUGUCAAAACUUUUUAUAGGUAAGGAGACAUAUUAACUUGUUAGGAGACAAGUUAGGCAUGUACCUCAGCUCCAUCCCUUGGAUAUGUGGUCUUGAGCAAGUUAUUUUUUCACUCUGUGCCUCAGUGUACCCAUCUGUAAAAGGGGGAUAAUAAUAGUGCCUGCCUCCUACAAUGGUUGUGAGGAUUCAAGGAGAUGAUACCCCACUGGGAGUGGAAUCUAGUAUGUAGUAAGUGCUCAGUAAAUGUUGGCCAUGUGUGUUUUUGACCUUUUAAGAAUUUAUUUUAUUUUAGUUUUUUAAUUAUGAUAAGAAAUACGUAACAUCAAAUUUACUCCCUUGACCAUUUUUUUAAGUGUACAGUUCAGUGGUGUUAACUCUAUUUACAUAGUUGUGUAACAGGUUUCUGGAACUUUUUCAUCUUGCAAAACGGAAAUGUUCAUUAUUUUUUAAAAGCUCAUUUUCCUUUAGAGUCAGUUCCACAGCUCUAUGAGCCUAACAUGAGAAUGCAGACUCCACUGGGGUAGGUGAUUAGGCUAUUCUAUUUCCUGUUGUAUCACAGGUGCCAAGAGCAGUGCCUAGCUCAGAAGUUAAUAUUUGCCAAGUGAAUGGGUGGGUGGGUGGAUGGACCGAUGGAUGGGCAACAGUGAGGCUUCAUUCAGCAUAUUAGAUGUGUUUUUGAAAAAUGAUCUCUUAAACAGUAAACCCAUUUUUUUUUUGUCUUUUUUUUUUGCCAUUUCUUGGGCCGCUGCCGUGGCAUAUGGCGGUUCCCAGGCUAGGAGUCAAAUCGGAGCUGUAGCCACCAGCCUAUGCCAGAGCCAUAGCAACUCGGGAUCCGAGCCUCGUCUGCAACCUUCACCACAGCUCACGGCAACGCCAGAUCAUUAACCCACUGAGCAAGGGCAGGGACCGAACCCGCAACCUCAUGGUUUCUAGUCGGAUUCGUUAACCACUGCGCCACAACGGGAACUCCAGUAAACCCAUUUUUAUCAGUAAUCUUAAAUACAUGUGGAAAACUGACUGCCUUCAUAAGGAAGUGAUUUUUACAACAAAUAACUAUCUCUUAAUUAUUUAUAAAUGCUGAUUUGGGUGGGUCAGCUUUUCUUUCCUCCUUCCUUCCUCCCUCUCUUCCUUCCUUCAUUCUCUCCUUUCUUCCUUCUUUCUUUUUUUUCCUGACCACACUCGUGGCCUAUGGACGUUCCCAGCCAGGGAUCGAAUCCAGCCUCAGCUGUGACCUGUGCUGGAUCCUUUUUAACCCACUGCUCUGGACUGCGAUAGAACCCACACCUGUGGAGUGACCCGAACCACUGCAGUCAGAUUCUUAACCCACCGUGCCACAGCGGGAACUCCAGGUUAGCUUUUCUUAAACUGUAAAAAAGUAGUUUACUGGGUGGAGACAUGGCAAAAGAAAAGAGGUUAUGUUAAAUAAUUUGCUUAAAAUUUGAGCAAGAUUGACUUUAAGUUCAAGCUUUUUCUUUUUUUUUUUAAAUAUGUACUUUCAUUCAGAUCUGUCCAUCAGACCUACUUUUCCUUAGGCAUAUGUGAAUCAUCUUGUUCUUUCUUUUAGAAUCAAAAGUUCAGGCCUUGAUCAGUAUUUACCAAAACUGGUGGAACACUCCCUUUCCACUGAGCACAUCUUGCUUCACCUUUUUUUUUUUUUUUUGCAUCUUUUAAAAGAAUGUCAGCUGAACAUCCUCUAGAAAUGGCCCAAACUCGGUGAGUGGGAGGAAAGGAAGGAAGAACAUGUCUCUCACUUAAAACUUACCACCUAUGGAAUAAAUUAUAGUCUUAUUCUGUGGGCUUGCCCUUAAAUUAUCUACUCUGCUGGGAAAAGAGUUAAUUCUUGAUAGAGUUGAUUUGCUUUGGGGGUAAACUAGUUAGUGUUCCUUUUUAUUGCCCAACCUUAGAUUUUGCUUUUAUAACCUAUUAAAAUGUUGUUUGGUAUUUAAGUAUUACUCUUAGGUAUAGUAGGCACAAACUAUGGCUUACACAGAGGUUCAGUGCCUCCUUCCAGGAAGCCAGGACCUAAAUUGCCACAGACUUUGCAGUCCCAGUAGGACAAUAAUAGGGAGGCUUGUUACCUGCCCAGGUUUUCGCUGGGGCCCAGCACAGCACAGCACCUGACUGUAACCAAAGCAAGAGUGCAUCUUUCCUUUCAGCUGCUACUUGGCACACCCUGUCUCUGUUCCCAUGGCAGAGAUGGUCGCCCAUCUUCCAAAAGGUGGCCUCUUGAGUCAUUUCCAUUAUGACUCUGACUUGUCUUCUGAAAAGUGACACAGGAAAGUGCUCUUACGUAGUCACUCUUUCCCAUGCCUCUGAAUCAGAGACCAUAAACCUUCUGAAAGAUCUCCAUUGUUUCUCUGAGCUAUUAAAACUUUUUGUAUUUGGGAGCUCCUGUUGUAGCUCAGCAGUAACGAACCUGACUGGUAUCCAUGAGGACGUGGGUUCGAUCCCUGGCCUCGCUCACUGGGUUAAGGAUAUGGCGUUGUUGUGAGCUGUGGUGUAAGUUGAAGAUGCGUCUCAGAUCCCGCAUUGUUGUGGCUGUGGUGUGGGCUGGCAGCUGCAGCUCUGAUUUGACCCCAUAGCCUGGGAACUUCCAUAUGCCUCAGGUGUGACC
rnacentral:lncRNA from 1 species